rnacentral:rRNA from 1 species
UUGAACGCUGGCGGCAGGCCUAACACAUGCAAGUCGAACGGUAACAGGAAACAGCUUGCUGUUUCGCUGACGAGUGGCGGACGGGUGAGUAAUGUCUGGGAAACUGCCUGAUGGAGGGGGAUAACUACUGGAAACGGUAGCUAAUACCGCAUAACGUCGCAAGACCAAAGAGGGGGACCUUCGGGCCUCUUGCCAUCGGAUGUGCCCAGAUGGGAUUAGCUAGUAGGUGGGGUAACGGCUCACCUAGGCGACGAUCCCUAGCUGGUCUGAGAGGAUGACCAGCCACACUGGAACUGAGACACGGUCCAGACUCCUACGGGAGGCAGCAGUGGGGAAUAUUGCACAAUGGGCGCAAGCCUGAUGCAGCCAUGCCGCGUGUAUGAAGAAGGCCUUCGGGUUGUAAAGUACUUUCAGCGGGGAGGAAGGGAGUAAAGUUAAUACCUUUGCUCAUUGACGUUACCCGCAGAAGAAGCACCGGCUAACUCCGUGCCAGCAGCCGCGGUAAUACGGAGGGUGCAAGCGUUAAUCGGAAUUACUGGGCGUAAAGCGCACGCAGGCGGUUUGUUAAGUCAGAUGUGAAAUCCCCGGGCUCAACCUGGGAACUGCAUCUGAUACUGGCAAGCUUGAGUCUCGUAGAGGGGGGUAGAAUUCCAGGUGUAGCGGUGAAAUGCGUAGAGAUCUGGAGGAAUACCGGUGGCGAAGGCGGCCCCCUGGACGAAGACUGACGCUCAGGUGCGAAAGCGUGGGGAGCAAACAGGAUUAGAUACCCUGGUAGUCCACGCCGUAAACGAUGUCGACUUGGAGGUUGUGCCCUUGAGGCGUGGCUUCCGGAGCUAACGCGUUAAGUCGACCGCCUGUGGAGUACGGCCGCAAGGUUAAAACUCAAAUGAAUUGACGGGGGCCCGCACAAGCGGUGGAGCAUGUGGUUUAAUUCGAUGCAACGCGAAGAACCUUACCUGGUCUUGACAUCCACGGAAGUUUUCAGAGAUGAGAAUGUGCCUUCGGGAACCGUGAGACAGGUGCUGCAUGGCUGUCGUCAGCUCGUGUUGUGAAAUGUUGGGUUAAGUCCCGCAACGAGCGCAACCCUUAUCCUUUGUUGCCAGCGGUCCGGCCGGGAACUCAAAGGAGACUGCCAGUGAUAAACUGGAGGAAGGUGGGGAUGACGUCAAAUCAUCAUGCCCCUUAUGAUUUGGGCUACACACGUGCUACAAUGGCGCAUACAAAGAGAAGCGACCUCGCGAGAGCAAGCGGACCUCAUAAAGUGCGUCGUAGUCCGGAUUGGAGUCUGCAACUCGACUCCAUGAAGUCGGAAUCGCUAGUAAUCGUGGAUCAGAAUGCCACGGUGAAUACGUUCCCGGGCCUUGUACACACCGCCCGUCACACCAUGGGAGUGGGUUGCAAAAGAAGUAGGUAGCUUAACCUUCGGGAGGGCGCUUACCACUUUGUGAUUCAUGACUGGGGUG